AUUGAACGCUGGCGGCAGGCUUAACACAUGCAAGUCGAACGAGUGGCGGACGGGUGAGUAAUGUCUGGGAAACUGCCUGAUGGAGGGGGAUAACUACUGGAAACGGUAGCUAAUACCGCAUACCAUCAGAUGGGCCCAGAUGGGAGUAGCUAGUGGGUGGGGUAAUGGCUCACCAAGGCGACGAUCCCUAGCUGGUCUGAGAGGAUGACCGGCCACACUGGAACGGAGAAACGGUCCAGAUCCCUACGGGAGGCAGCAGUGGGGAAUAUUGCACAAGGGGCGCAAGCCUGAUGCAGCCAUGCCGCGUGGAUGAAGAAGGCCUUCGGGUUGUAAAGUACUUUCAGCGGGGAGGCGUUACCCGCAUAAGAAGCACCGGCUAACUCCGUGCCAGCAGCCGCGGUAAUUC
rnacentral:rRNA from 1 species